rnacentral:misc_RNA from 1 species
UCGAACCCUGCAAUGCAGAACGACCUGUGAACUCGUAAAAACAACUGGGUGAUAGGGAGAUGGGCAUUAAGUUCUGAUCCUCAUCGCCUUCCAGCAUGCCAUUCUGGUCUCAUUUUUGGGUACCAUGGAUGUCUUGAUGGAUCUAAACAAACUCCGGCACGGAAUGUGCCAAGGAUAACAAAAAUUGAGAAGGGCUUGUCUUGUUAUGUCCCGUUCGCGGUGUGCAUAACGGUCUUGGCCUCCUUGGAAUCA